rnacentral:lncRNA from 1 species
GACAGCUGAAGGAGUAAAGAGUUAGAGCUCUCAGUCAUUGUAGGAAGUUGUGCUUGCCUGUGUAUAGCAGUGGUUAGAAUGCUUUGUUGUUUCCAGCAGUGUGAGCUGAAAAAGAUCUUUUUUCCUCUGGAGACUGUGAGCAGUUACAUAUCAUUGCAGCAGCCGGCAAACCUCUUCUAUGGAGACGUAAAAGACAAGAAUUGGUAAAAAUAACGAGACACAGCUGAGCCAGGCCAAGCUAAGAGUAAGCCUACAGCAUAUUUCAAAUGACCUCAAUGGAGCAGAGAGGAUUUAUUGACAUCUGAAGGCUUCCAACACCCUCCCCCAACUUGAUUUCCAAGUCUUUCGUGAUUUACUGUAGAAUGUCAUGUUUUAAAGACCUAAGUUAAUCCUAGUGAAACAAAUCAAGGCAAAUUUUCUUUGUUCUGUACGAGAUCUUAAUUGAUAGGUUUCUAUUUUUGCUUGCUUAAGAAGGAAUUAGUGCGGCUAUCAUAGGUAUAAGAGAACUGGAAUUUAUGUAAUAGAUGCUUUCAUUUCUAUCUUAAUUUUCAUUUCCUGAGCACUGUGGUGGGAAUUACUCCCUCACUGCAUAGGCAACUGUCACGGUGCGGGUGGGGUCAUCAAUUAGUGGUGACGUAGGAAACUGAUCUGUGUUUAACUAGGUUUGUUCAGAUUUAUUUUUAACUCUAGCACAGAUGUAGGCAGGUGUAUGUGAGUCUUUCUUUUUGCUUCUCUGUUAUAACAUUCUCUGUUGCGAUAUGUGAUCUACUUAAUACAUUUAAUAGUAUGACUACGCAUCUUUUUAAAGGUUAUGGGUUUGUUUUGUUUUGUUGGAUAUCUGUUAGUUUUGCUAUUCUUUCUUCACAAAUGUAGUCUGCCAAAAAUCUGCUGAAUCCUUGGUUCCUGCCAAUUUACUCAUUUGACGGUAGUAGAGACAUUCUGAUAGCUGUGGUGGAAAGAUCCAGAAAUAAUAUUGCCUUUCUAUCUUUGUAGAUUUAGUUAAAAUAAUUUCAGAAUAAAUGAGGUCUCAUUGGUUUUUAUUUCCA